AACGCAUAUUGCACUCUCUGGUAUUCCGGGGAGUACGCCUGUUUGCAGCGUGAAAUUGAGUGGUCGACGAGUUCUAUCGUCGGAUUCAUGAGCGCGCCAAAGGGGGGUGUUGUUUGUUAUACUCUCCUUGGGCUCGCUUGAAAAAUAGAGAAUGACCAAAUGACAGGGGCCCUCUUUUAGGGGGGUAUCACCUUAGGCGUGUUAAAAUGUCUCGUCAGAUGUUACGCUCGGCCUAAGUUUUUUAGCCAAGGUCUUUUGGGCUUUGUCCGUGGAAGAUAUAUUUGUUGAGGAUUUAUCCUCAUUAUUUUUACCUGAAAUCAGGUGGGAUUACCCGCUGAACUUAA
rnacentral:misc_RNA from 1 species